UGGGGAAUUUUUCGCAAUGGGCGAAAGCCUGACGAAGCAACGCCGCGUGGAGGAUGAAGGCCUUCGGGUCGUAAACUCCUGUCGACCGGGACGAAAGUAGGAUGGCCUAAUACGCCGAUCUAUUGACUGUACCGGUGGAGGAAGCCACGGCUAACUCUGUGCCAGCAGCCGCGGUAAUACAGAGGGUGCAAGCGUUGUUCGGAAUUAUUAGGCGUAAAGCGCGUGUAGGCGGCUUUGCAAGUCGGGUGUGAAAGCCCUCGGCUCAACCGAGGAAGUGCGCCCGAAACUGCAGAGCUUGAGUACCGGAGAGGAUGGCGGAAUUCCCCAAGUAGAGGUGAAAUUCGUAGAUAUGGGGAGGAACACCGGUGGCGAAGGCGGCCAUCUGGACGGAUACUGACGCUGAGACGCGAAAGCGUGGGUAGCAAA
rnacentral:rRNA from 1 species